CCCUGUGAAGGAGGGGGCGGAGAUUGGAGUUAAGCUGCCUCAAGCCAAGGAAUGCUUGCAGCUACCAGACCUGGAAGAGCCAAGAAUGCAUUCUUUCCUAGAAACCUCAGAGAAACUCAGUCUGUGGUGCUUUGUUAUAGCAACCCUAGGAAAUGAAUACAAUUAUGCAGUCCUGGUUUGCUCUUGGUCGACUCCGGACCACCAGGUUCUGGUCCAUUAAAGGACCUCAACAAGUGGAGCCCGAACAGGGACUUGGUACACGUAGGCAGAUUCAGACGGAGUGACCCCAGGGCCUAUUGAGGCCGUUUUUAACCUCUUUGGAAGAUUCGAUCCAAGGGGGACCCCAGCAUUCAAAAUGGAGAUGAAACAACAAGAACCCCAGGAAGAAGAAAUUCCAAUAUGGGCUAUGUCCGCUCUAAAGAUCUCCAGAAAGCACUGUCCUCGGCAACAUCAACCUUAUGAUCUCCCCACUUGGAGACAAAUAAAAUCCCUUACUAAUUGAGCUGAAAAUUUGGUCUUUCAACAGGGAAUGCCUCGGAGUCCUGGAUACAUUUUCCUGGCAAUGCCAAGCAGGAGUGCGUCGCCUCCCCCUGCUCGAGCCCUGACUUACCCAACCCCCCUCUAUGGCAGGUCAUAGAAUGGACAGAAAAAAGACUGAUCAUAUCAACCAAUGACUCCACCCAUAUACCCCCUCCCUGGAAUGUGAAAGGGCCCUCACACCCUGGGUGGGGAGGGGGGAAACUAAUUAACAUUUCUUUAGGCUAUGAAGUCCUUCCCUUGUGCAUAGGCCCAGAAAAAUUGUGCAUAAACGUCAGCGGACAAACUUGGGCUUUUGCCCUGCAUCCCAAAAAGGAUUCUCAGAUGUUGCUUAGACUAUUUACUGCCUUUUCUUUGUCUGUGAACCAUGUUUAUACUACUGAGACUUUAGGAAAAGAGUUAGGGAAAGAACAUUAUGCCAAGGGUUUACUUAUAAGAACUUCACUUAUGUUCCUGUUCGUUGGGACAAAUGUCAAACCAAGUCAAGAAAAUCAAUGUUUGUGGCUAAUCGUACAACUGUUGAUUGGAGACCCCAUGGUAUGUGGUUAUCUGAUUGCUCAGAUGAUAUUAACAACACUGUGUGUGAUAUGGAAGGUCACUGACACUAGGAUGGAACAUCACUAUGACAAAGGAUUUCUUGGGUAGCUUGACGGUGGAUUAGCCCCACCUCAUCCUAGGAUGUCCUCGAUAAACAGAGUGGGCCUGAACAAUGGGACAUUUGGAAACUGGCUGCGAGCUCCAGAGCACCAAAGAACUUAAAACUUGGACUGGACAUUUCAUAGAGACCAGUCGUGGUCAUAGUAACUAUUUCUUUCGCUAUAAUCAGUCAUAUUUUAUAUAGGCCUGUGUCCUUUAUAUUUUAUAGGCUUGUGUCCCACUUCCUUUUGUUAUAGCCAUAGAAAAUUUACAAUUUAAUAGGACUUUUAUGUUCUGUAACUUGUAUUAAUUACAAACUAUAUACUUGUCUUAA